AGAGUUUGAUCCUGGCUCAGGACGAACGCUGGCGGCGCGCCUAACACAUGCAAGUCGAACGAGCGAGAGAGAGCUUGCUUUCUCAAGCGAGUGGCGAACGGGUGAGUAACGCGUGAGGAACCUGCCUCAAAGAGGGGGACAACAGUUGGAAACGACUGCUAAUACCGCAUAAGCCCACGGCUCGGCAUCGAGCAGAGGGAAAAGGAGCAAUCCGCUUUGAGAUGGCCUCGCGUCCGAUUAGCUAGUUGGUGAGGUAAUGGCCCACCAAGGCGACGAUCGGUAGCCGGACUGAGAGGUUGAACGGCCACAUUGGGACUGAGACACGGCCCAGACUCCUACGGGAGGCAGCAGUGGGGAAUAUUGCACAAUGGGGGAAACCCUGAUGCAGCGACGCCGCGUGGAGGAAGAAGGUCUUCGGAUUGUAAACUCCUGUUGUUGAGGAAGAUAAUGACGGUACUCAACAAGGAAGUGACGGCUAACUACGUGCCAGCAGCCGCGGUAAAACGUAGGUCACAAGCGUUGUCCGGAAUUACUGGGUGUAAAGGGAGCGCAGGCGGGAAGACAAGUUGGAAGUGAAAUCCAUGGGCUCAACCCAUGAACUGCUUUCAAAACUGUUUUUCUUGAGUAGUGCAGAGGUAGGCGGAAUUCCCGGUGUAGCGGUGGAAUGCGUAGAUAUCGGGAGGAACACCAGUGGCGAAGGCGGCCUACUGGGCACCAACUGACGCUGAGGCUCGAAAGUGUGGGUAGCAAACAGGAUUAGAUACCCUGGUAGUCCACACCGUAAACGAUGAUUACUAGGUGUUGGAGGAUUGACCCCUUCAGUGCCGCAGUUAACACAAUAAGUAAUCCACCUGGGGAGUACGACCGCAAGGUUGAAACUCAAAGGAAUUGACGGGGGCC
rnacentral:rRNA from 1 species